GAUGAACGCUGGCGGCGUGCCUAAUACAUGCAAGUCGAGCGAAUGGAUUAAGAGCUUGCUCUUAUGAAGUUAGCGGCGGACGGGUGAGUAACACGUGGGUAACCUGCCCAUAAGACUGGGAUAACUCCGGGAAACCGGGGCUAAUACCGGAUAACACUUUGAACCGCAUGGUUCGAAAUUGAAAGGCGGCUUCGGCUGUCACUUAUGGAUGGACCCGCGUCGCUUUAGUUAGUUGGUGAGGUAACGGCUCACCAAGGCAACGAUGCGUAGCCGACCUGAGAGGGUGAUCGGCCACACUGGGACUGAGAAACGGCCCAGACUCCUACGGGAGGCAGCAGUAGGGAAUCUUCCGCAAUGGACGAAAGUCUGACGGAGCAACGCCGCGUGAGUGAUGAAGGCUUUCGGGUCGUAAAACUCUGUUGUUAGGGAAGAACAAGUGCUAGUUGAAUAAGCUGGCACCUUGACGGUACCUAACCAGAAAGCCACGGCUAACUACGUGCCAGCCGCCGCAGUAA
rnacentral:rRNA from 1 species